rnacentral:lncRNA from 1 species
GUGUGUGGCGUCUCUCCGAACCCCCUCGACUGUCCGGACUUCUUCGAUAAUAAACUUCUGCAUUCAUCUACCGGGCCACCCCAAAAGCUCUCUGGGCCUCACUGCCAGUCGACCUUCUAUAGUAAUCAACUAUUCUCCGAAUCCCUUCUGGAUCCCAACCGAGCUCCCGCGAGAGCCGAACUUCUGCUACGAGCGGUCUACUCUGAAUUCCUAUAGUGGGCUGUUUACCCCAGAUAUCUGCUGUAAGCAAAUUCCAUUCGAGCCUCUACUAUAAAUAAAUUUCUUUCGAACUUCUAUUACAGAUAGACUUCAGUCGAGCUUCUUCGUAGCCGGAUCCCAAACGAGCUUCUACCAUGGGGCAGGAUCCACCGGCC